GUUGUGCCGUUCUCUUCUUCUAACUCUCAAACUCUCCUCUCCCGCCCUCUCAUCUCCUCCAAACCCACGCAGCCACCUCUCGACUCUUCCACUCUUCAAUCAACCGAGACCCCAAAGGCCCUGUGGCCUCCACUGGCUGGUUAACCCAAACACGAGCCUAACCCGACCCUAAACUCUCAUAUCUUCACUAUUUGAACUUUAGGUCAUUCUCUGCAACAUGGAUUUUCUGUGAUUAAACUUUAGGUUUCAGCCAUUUCCUCUUAUUUGAAGAUGUUUUUACUGCUAAAUUUAGAAGGCAAAAGCUGAUGAAAUUGCAAAGCUAAUGAAUGAGAAUGAGCAGCUUAAAGCUGUGAUUGGGGAUUUGAAGUGAGGCUCGAACGGCUAGGAGGCAAAGCGGGAUGAACUACAACUAAGGUAAACGUUUAAGCUAUCUCCUUUAUGCCUUUGACUUGGUUUAGAUUCAAAACAUAUGCACACACAAGAAAAUUAAGAAAGCAAUGGAGAAUAGAAACUAAAAAAAAUACCCUUUUGAUUCUGUGUAUUGCUUGGGUUCGAUGAAAAAAAAAAUGCUUCUCUGUUUCUUUUAAUCCUCAAAUAGCAAGAAAAUACAGUGCAAAUUCAUUCCUUAUGUUUUGCUAUUCUCUGUAAAAAAAAAUCAAUGGGGGCAGUUUUUUUUCUGCUUCUGUUUUCUCGGUUACUUGUUUUUGUCCCUCGGCUCAUUCCUCUUUUUUUUGUAUGUGAUCUCCUUUUCCCCAGUGGUUAAUUGUCAUUUAAAACUGACCAUUAUAGUUUCCUCGUUGCUCACGUAUACCUCCCACGACCGAACAAUACCUUUCCCCUCUGGUGAGUUUGUUUAUGAGUUUGUUUAUCUUUAAAUAAAUAUUCCUUUAAAAGUUGGAUUCUCUCUUGUUAAGAGUUUGUCAGGAGUUUAAAGAAGAAGGCUAUUUAACUGUCAGUUAUUUAUUCUCUGCCCCUUGUUCUUGAUACCUGAUGCAUGUAUGAAGUCAUUGAUUUCAACUUUCUAGAUGAUUUAUGCAUUGUUUUUUCAUAUAUGAUAACCUCAAAACGUAUUAUCGUUAAAUUAUUUUAUUUGU